AAUCAAGGUCUUGGGGAAUCCUUUCUUAGCACAGACUGGGCCAUCUGGUCCCUCUCCCUCCUUCCACACAUCACCUGACUCCACCUCUCUGAACCAGCUUCUCCAUCAUCCCUCAAUCCAGACAAAUCAUUUGAAGACGGCGAUCCAGAGCAGGAAAGGACAGAACACAGUAGGAAAACCUGUUAUCUCAGUCAUCCUGGCCAGACCGAUCUCCCUACUGCGUCACGAGUGAAGUCUGGUAUUGUGUCUGGCUGACAGGCUGAAGAGUUUGCGAGCAUUGAGCCAAAGUGUGAAGGGUUUAGGAUUAGCUGGAUGGACGGAAGAAGAAAGUUUAAUGGAGCUCAGUGCAGAAACUAAGCUGCAGAGAACAGUGAUAGAGAAAGAUGUGUGGGGACAGAAUUAUGGUCAUCCAUCUCCUACAGCGUCAUGGAUUCCUUUACCAAUGAUGGCCUGGAUAAAUGUCAAAAUCAGUUCACGAUGGAGUAAACAUAUUUCUCUAACAACUUAA